GAUGAACGCUGGCGGCGUGCUUAACACAUGCAAGUCGAACGGAAAGGCUCCUGCUUGCAGGGGUACUCGAGUGGCGAACGGGUGAGUAACACGUGGGUGAUCUGCCCUGCACUUCGGGAUAAGCCUGGGAAACUGGGUCUAAUACCGGAUAGGACGAUGGUUUGGAUACCAUUGUGGAAAGUUUUUUCGGUGUGGGAUGAGCUCGCGGCCUAUCAGCUUGUUGGUGGGGUAAUGGCCUACCAAGGCGUCGACGGGUAGCCGGCCUGAGAGGGUGUACGGCCACAUUGGGACUGAGAUACGGCCCAGACUCCUACGGGAGGCAGCAGUGGGGAAUAUUGCACAAUGGGCGCAAGCCUGAUGCAGCGACGCCGUGUGGGGGAUGACGGCCUUCGGGUUGUAAACUCCUUUCGCUAGGGACGAAGCGCAAGUGACGGUACCUGGAGAAGAAGCACCGGCUAACUACGUG
rnacentral:rRNA from 1 species